AGUAUUUAGAGUCAGGAAGGGAACCAGGGAGGCAGGACAGGAGAAUGACAGGAAGAAGGGUUGUAAAUAAGAACAAAACAUUAUAAUAUAUGCAUAUCUAUAAAAUGUCACAAUGAAGCCCAUUUCUUUGUAUGCCAAUCAAAAAAAUGAAAAAGUAGAGUAAAAAUCAAAGUAGAUUAGAAAAAUAAAAAAGAGUACAAAAGUAUGCAUAUAAAGAAAGAUUUUUCCAAAAUUGUAAAAGAAUACAUUUUUUUCAUAAGAUUCACCUCCUAAAAUAGGUUUUUUCUCUGUUCAACUUUAUUUUAGUUUUGAGCAUAUUUUUCCAACAUGUCUCCCACCCUCUUCUCUGUACCCUGGUUUCUCCCCUUUGUCCCCUAUACAGUUUUGCUUCUGCUUUCAGGUCAUAUAUACAUACGUGUUUUAUGUACUAAUAUAAAAUCUAGAAAUCAGUAAUGAGAUAAAAUGUGAUAUUUGUCUAAGGUAGACUUAAUGUCGUAGCCCUGCCUGCAUCCAUUUUUCUGCAGAUAGCAUCUUUGUUCUUUAUGACUGAAAAAAAAAAUUCCAUUGUGUAGGCAGGGAAAUUAGCUCCUUUGAUAGAAUACUUACCAAAGCCUUGGGUUCAAAUCCUACUAUCUCAUGAACUAGAUGUGGCAAUGAAUAUUUGUAAUUCCAGCACUGGUGAGAUGGAAGUGAUGGGAUCGGAAGUUCAAGGUGAUCUUCAGCUCUAAAGCAAGUUCAAAAGUAGUCAGGCUACAUAAAACUUGUCUUUAAAAGACUCCCGUUGUGCAUAAGUACCGUACUUUUGAUGAUGAACCCUUAGGUGGUUUUAUUACUUAGCUAUUAUGAAUAGCAUUGUAAUAAACAUUAGUGUGCAAGAAUUUCUUUGAAGUCUUUCAGGUAAAUACCUAGGAGUCAUGUAGGAUGGCGAGUGUCAACGGCCCAAAAGAAACAGGCUCCGGUUGUCCUCAAGGCCCAAACCAGGACCAAAUUGAGGCCCAACAGUUUUAAACUUUAGGUCUCUCAUUAAGGUCUCCUGUCCAUUUAGAGAAGAUUUUUCUACAGGGUAUUUGAUGGAGAUUUGGGUUCAUUUUUCUGCAUGUGGUUAUCCAGUGUUCCUGAUAGCAUAUGUCAGAGAGGCUGCAUUUUCUCCACUGUGAAAUUUUGUCAUAAUUGUUAAAACUCAAACGGUGGUGGUUGUGCAGGUUUGCAUCUGAGUCCUCUUUUACUCCAUUGAUCUGUGUGUCUAUCUUGUGCCAGUUCUAUGCUGAUUUUAUUAGUUAAUACUAUGGCUCUAAAGCAUAGCUUGAAAUCAAGUGACUGAUACCUAUAACGUCAUUCAUAUGUAUGGAGGUGUAUAGUGUGUGUUCAUGUCUGUGUGGGUGUAUUCACAUGAGCAUGCAGCUUCAUGUGUCUGCAUGUGGAGGCCAGAGGUCAACAUGAGAUAUCUUCCUCCAUUUCUUUCUAUCUAAUCUUUUUCAGACAGAGUCUCUCACUAACCCUGCAGCUCAUCAAUUGACUAGGCUUCAGGCUGGCCAGUGAGUUUCAGGAAUCCAGAAUCCACCUGCCUAUCACCCCCUUCCAGGGCUGAAGUUACCUACAUGCCCUGCUGUCCCUAGCUUUAUGUAGGUGCUAGAUACUCACGUCCUCAUACCUGCACACCAGGCACGUCAGUAACUGAGCCAUCGUCUCUGUCCCCAGUGUUCUCUCUGCUCAGGGUUACUUGGCCAUCUGGCAUCUUUUGUGCUUUAAUAUGAAUCUCAAAGGUGUUUUAUCUAUUUCAGUAAAGAAUGGCAUUGGGAUUUUUAUGAGAUUUCAUUGCCUCUAUAGAUUGGUUUUGAUAGAAUGACCGGCCAUUUUUGCAAUAUUACUUCUUCCAAUCAAUGAAUGUGGGAUGCCUUUCUACCUUCUGGUGUCUUUUUAGUAUUUUUUUUCUUCUUCAGUGAGUGAGUUUUCAUUGUAGUCUUUCAUUUCCUAAGGUUUAUUCCAGGGGUUUUUGUUUGUUUUUAAUAUUAAGACAUUUGUGAAUAUGAUUGUUCCCUUGAUUUAGUUCUCAGUUUGUCAUUGGUAUAUAGGGAGGCUUCCAGGUUUGUAUGUUACUUGUGUAGCCUGCCACUUUUCCACUGAGCACUUAUCACUUAGCUGGAAGUGCUAAGAGUCUUCUUUAGGACCUUUGUGGUGGUUAAAAAGAGAAGUGUGCCCCAUAGGCUUAGACAUUUGCACACUUACAUACAGUUGGCGGCGCUACCCUGAGCAGUCUGGGAGGUGUGGUCUUGCUGGAGGAGGUGAGUCACUGGAGGCAGGGGCAGGCCUCCAGAGUUUAGGGCCCUACCCAGCUUCCAGCUCCUUUUCUCUGUGCUUGUGGUAAAACCUGUGAUCUCUCACUUCCUGCUCCUGCUGCAGUGCCUGCCACAUGCUGCCAUGCUUUCCUACCGUAAUGGAUUCCGAUCCCUCUGGAGUCAUAAGCUAAAAUAAGCCCUUCCUCCCAUUAGUCACUUUGAUCACGUUCUUCUAUCACACAACUGAGAAGUAACUGAAGUACAGAAUCCUAUCAUCUGCAAACAAGGACACUUCGUCCUCUUCCUGUCUGUAUCUCCUUUGGCUUUUUAUUUCCUCUUGUCUUAUUGUUCUAGUUAAGAUGCAAAGAGUUUUAGUUUAAUUAUUUUUGAAAGAUUUGUUUUUAUCUGACAUGUGUGAGGGUUGCCUGCAUGUAUGUAUGUGUACCUCCUGCCUGCCUGAUUCCUGUGGAAGCCAAGCAAGAGCUCCGGAUACCCUGUACUGGACUUACAGAUAGGUGUGAGCUUACAUGUAUGUGCUAUCAACUAAACCUACCUUCUCUUCUCUGCAAGAGCAAUGAGCACUGUUAACCACUGACCUCUCUCUCCAGCCUCAGUUCUCCCGAGUUCUUAGCCAGACACUGUAAGCCUGUCCAUACUGCAGGUUAAAACAAACAAACAAACAAACAAAACCAAGACAAGAACAACAACAACAACAACAAACAAAACCCACAUAUUACCAGAACAGGCUAUGCUUGAUGCUUGUAAUUACAUUCAUGUAAUUCCAAUCCUCAGAUAAAAACGGGGAAUUGUGCAUUUCAGGGCAGCACAAGACUGUGCCCUGGAGUAAAAUAAAGUGCUCAGCCAGCCUUUCUUACAGGUGAGCUUUUGAAAGCCACUCAUUUACAAACUUUACUGUUCCAGAUCAUUAUUUAGUUGUAGACCAGUGGAACAGAGAGCCAUGUUGUUGAAUCAUACUUUUGUGCUUCCGUUGUUUAUUUAUUUAUGGGCUUUUUUUUUUUUAAUCCUAAAAGAUUUGUUUCUGUCAGCUGAUAAAAUUUACUUUUUGCUUUGGCACUUUCUGUCUCCUGGUGACAAUGCUUUCUCUUAAUGCUAUCAAGCAAAGUAUUCACUGUAAGAAGUUAUCUUGACCUAUUGAAGCCAUUAAUAAGAACAAGAAUCAAAUGUUGUCCUUUAUACAAAAGUUGAGGAAAUCUUGAUGAUAAUCAGCUUUUUGGAAAAAGAAACUAAAAAUUACUUGAGAGCCAAAGGAGGUAUGGUGUUCCUGUAAUACUAGUACUU
rnacentral:lncRNA from 1 species